ACGAACGCUGGCGGCUGCUUAACACAUGCAAGUCGAACGGAGUGGCGAACGGGUGAGUAACGCGUGAGCAACCUGCCUAUGACAGUGGGAUAGCCUCGGGAAACCGGGAUUAAUACCGCAUAGUCAUAGAUGGGCUCGCGUCUGAUUAGCUAGUUGGUGAGAUAACAGCCCACCAAGGCGACGAUCAGUAGCCGGUAUGGGAGGAUGAACGGACACAUUGGAACUGGGAAACAGUCCAAACUCCUACGGGAGGGAGCAGUGGGUAAUAGUGCACAAUGGGGGAAACCCAGAUGCAGCGACGCCGCGUGAACGAAGAAGGUAUUCGGAUCGUAAAGUUCUGUCCUAUGAGAAGCGGUACCAUAGAAGAAAGCUCCGGCUAAAUACGUGCCAGCAGCCGCGGUAAUUC
rnacentral:rRNA from 1 species